rnacentral:rRNA from 1 species
AUUGAACGCUGGCGGCAGGCUUAACACAUGCAAGUCGAGCGAGCGGCGGACGGGUGAGUAAUGUCUGGGAAACUGCCUGAUGGAGGGGGAUAACUACUGGAAACGGUAGCUAAUACCGCAUACCAUCAGAUGUGCCCAGAUGGGAUUAGCUAGUAGGUGGGGUAAUGGCUCACCUAGGCGACGAUCCCUAGCUGGUCUGAGAGGAUGACCAGCCACACUGGAUCUGAUACACGGACCAGACUCCGACGGUAGGCAGCAGUGGGUAAUAUGGCACCAUGGGAGCAAGCCUGAUGCAGCCAAGCCGGGUGUGUGAAGAGGGCCUUCGGGUUGUAAAGCACUUUCAGAGAGGAGGUGUUACUCGCAGAAGAAGUGCCGGCUAACUCCGUGCCAGCAGCCGCAGUAAUUC